UACGAAGGGAGCUAGCGUUGUUCGGAAUCACUGGGCGUAAAGCGCACGUAGGCGGAUGUGUCAGUCAGGGGUGAAAUCCCGGAGCUCAACUUCGGAACUGCCUUUGAUACAGCACGUCUUGAGUCCGAUAGAGGUGGGUGGAAUUCCUAGUGUAGAGGUGAAAUUCGUAGAUACUAGGAAGAACACCGGUGGCGAAGGCGGCCCACUGGAUCGGUACUGACGCUGAGGUGCGAAAGCGUGGGGAGCAAACAGG
rnacentral:rRNA from 1 species